GACGAACGCUGGCGGCGUGCUUAACACAUGCAAGUCGAACGGAAAGGCCCCUUUGGGGGUACUCGAGUGGCGAACGGGUGAGUCACACGUGAGUAACCUGCCCUUGACUUCGGGAUAACUUCAGGAAACUGGGGCUAAUACCGGAUAGGAAUCCUUGCUGCAUGGUGGGGGUUGGAAAGCUUCGGCGGUUUUGGAUGGACUCGCGGCUUAUCAGCUUGUUGGUGGGGUAGUGGCUUACCAAGGCUUUGACGGGUAGCCGGCCUGAGAGGGCGACCGGCCACAUUGGGACUGAGAUACGGCCCAGACUCCUACGGGAGGCAGCAGUGGGGAAUAUUGCACAAUGGGCGGAAGCCUGAUGCAGCAACGCCGCGUGCGGGAUGACGGCCUUCGGGUUGUAAACCGCUUUCAGCAGGGGCGAAGCUUGUGGUGACGGUACCUGCAGAAGAAGCACCGGCUAACUACGUG
rnacentral:rRNA from 1 species